GAUGAACGCUGGCGGCGUGCCUAAUACAUGCAAGUCGAGCGAACAGACGAGGAGCUUGCUCCGCUGACGUUAGCGGCGGACGGGUGAGAAACACGUGGAUAACCUACCUAUAAGACUGGGAUAACCUCGGGAAACCGGAGCUAAUACCGGAUAAUAUAUUGAACCGCAUGGUUCAAUAGUGAAAGACGGUGUUGCGGUCACGUAUAGAUGGAUCUGCGCCGUAUUAGCUGGUUGGUCAGGUAACGGGUUACCAAGGCAACGAUGCGUAGCCGACGUGAGAGGCGGGUAGGCCACACUGGAGCUGGGACGCGCACCAGGCUCCUACGGGACGCCGCAGUCUCCAAUGUUCCGCAGUAGGGGAGAGCAUUACGGAGCGGCGCGGCGUCUGAUAUAGAGGUCUCGGGUUCGUAAUGCUGUGUUUUGAGUGGAAAACAAAUGUGGAAGUUACUGUGCACGGCGUGACGGUACCUGGUAAGAAAGCCACGGCUAACUACGUG
rnacentral:rRNA from 1 species